rnacentral:lncRNA from 1 species
GUUUCCUUUUCCAGGGACAGAACUCUUUUGCACAGAUCUAUGCCCUUUGUGACCAAAAUUGCCAUGUGGCAAGGAUUUUGAAAGAAGAUAUAAAUUGCCUACAAUUUAAUAUAUCUGAAAAUUUGAUUUCUACCUUUUAUGCAUUUUCAUAAAUGUCUUCAUUAAUAUUGGCAACAUGAGGCACAAAAGACAGACCAACCUAAGACAUAUUUCCCAGAACCCUCUGAUCAUAUGGUAUGGGCAAUCAUAGAACAUCGCCGAGGGCUUCAGUCCUCCCAAGCCAAUCUGCUCUGUUACUGGAAAUUUUGGUCCUCUCGGAGUGUUGAAUGAAGCUUAAAGUUUUUUAGAGUCCAAAUUCAAUUCUCUCUUUCUGGCUUUCUUUCUAAGAAGAAUAAAGUUUAGUAACAUAAUGCGAGCAGUUUUCUUCAGAAUAACCAGUCAGUAUUCUCCUCUGUUGGAUAAACCCAAAGCCUAGGUUUUUGUACCCAACGUGUGACUCAGGUCACUGAGUAAGCCUAUCAUUCUUUAUUUUCGUGUUUUCUUCCACUGAUAAGAGAGAACCAGGACAGACCUUAGCCAAUUGCUGCUCCUCCCGUUUGAAGGAAACUUCGGCUGUACCUGUUCUUUCAUCUCCUGUGUGGAAAAAUGUCUAUCGACUUGAAGCCCUAGGAGUCUUAAUUUUCAAGGAUUUUAGUUGUAAGCCGUUCAAGGCAUGAGCUAAGGUUUCAGGCAAAGGAGGAAGAUCAACAAUGGAAUAAAAGACAGCUGGAAACAGCUCCUAUGUAAUACCCAAAGCUAGGACUUCCCCACGAAUGUACCACAAACAGACUAAUUCCACCUACUGGAAAAUGGGAAAAUGGAUAAACAUAUCAUUCGAGGGUCUAUCAUCACUAGAACACAGCUGAUCGGUAUUUAAAUAAUUGCGUUUUUAAUGUACAGAACAAACAAGAUUUCUUUUUUUAAAUUGAAAUGUAUUGACAUAUAACCUUGAGUAAAUUUAAGGUACACAACAUGUUAAUUUGAUACAUUUAUAUAUUGUAUUAUGAUUGUCAUUGUAGCAAUAAUUAGCACCUCUGUCCGAUUUCAUAAUUAUCCUUUCCUUUAAAAGUCGUUGGAAUAAUUAAGUUCUAGUCUCUAAGCAAGUUUCAUGAUUAUAAUACCAUAUUGUUAUCCGUAUUUACUAUAUUUUGCACUAUAUCUCUAGGGUUUAUUUACUGCUUGUAAGUUUGUCCUCUUAAACAACAUCUGUCUUAUUUCCCCAUCCUCUAUCCCCUACUAACCACCCUUUUAUUGUCUGUUUUUAUAAGUGUGGUUUCUUAAAAUUCCACAUAUAAGUGAUAUCAUCAAGUGCUUGUCUUUAUGCAACUUAUUUCACUUAGCAGAGUGUGCCCAAGGUCCAUUCAUGUUGUUUCAAGGAGCAGGAUGUACUCCUUUCUCAUGUCUGAAUAAUAUU